rnacentral:rRNA from 1 species
GACGAACCGUGCGAACGUUAUUCGGAAUCACUGGGCUUAAAGCGCGUGUAGGCGGGACGGCACGUCUGUCGCUGAAAUCCCCCGGCUUAACCGGGGAACUGGCGUAGAUACGACCGUCCUUGAGGGGCGUAGGGGGACCUGGAACUUCCGGUGGAGCGGUGAAAUGCGUUGAGAUCGGAAGGAACGCCCGUGGCGAAAGCGGCGCACUGGACCUUUUCUGACGCUGAGGCGCGAAAGCCAGGGGAGCAAACGGG